GAGAAUUUUUGUUGCUUAGU
rnacentral:miRNA from 17 species